rnacentral:rRNA from 1 species
CCUACGGGAGGCAGCAGUGAGGAAUAUUGGUCAAUGGACGCAAGUCUGAACCAGCCAUGCCGCGUGAGGGAUGAAGGUACAGAGUAUCGUAAACCUCUUUUGUCAGGGAACAAAGGCGGGGACGUGUCCCCGGAUGAGUGUACCUGAAGAAAAAGCAUAGGCUAACUCCGUGCCAGCAGCCGCGGUAAUACGGGGGAUGCGAGCGUUAUCUGGAUUUAUUGGGUUUAAAGGGUGCGCAGGCGGUCUGUUAAGUCAGCGGGAAAAGCCCGGGGCGCAACCCGGGACCGCCGUUGAGACUGGCAGUCUCGAGUUGGAGAGAAGUAUGCGGAAUGCGCGGUGUAGCGGUGAAAUGCAUAGAUAUCGCGCAGAACUCCGAUGGCGAAGGCAGCAUGCCGGCUCCACACUGACGCUGAGGCACGAAAGCGUGGGUAUCGAACAGGAUUAGAUACCCGGGUAGUC